AACGAACGCUGGCGGCAGGCUUAACACAUGCAAGUCGAGCGAGACCUUCGGGUCUAGCGGCGGACGGGUGAGUAACGCGUGGGAACGUGCCCUUCUCUACGGAAUAGCCCCGGGAAACUGGGAGUAAUACCGUAUACGCCCUUUGGGGGAAAGAUUUAUCGGAGAAGGAUCGGCCCGCGUUGGAUUAGGUAGUUGGUGGGGUAAUGGCCCACCAAGCCGACGAUCCAUAGCUGGUUUGAGAGGAUGAUCAGCCACACUGGGACUGAGACACGGCCCAGACUCCUACGGGAGGCAGCAGUGGGGAAUCUUAGACAAUGGGGGCAACCCUGAUCUAGCCAUGCCGCGUGAGUGAUGAAGGGCCUUAGGGUUGUAAAGCUCUUCAGCUGGGAAGAU
rnacentral:rRNA from 1 species